AACGCAGAGUUUGAUCCUGGCUCAGGACGAACGCUGGCGGCGUGCCUAAUGCAUGCAAGUCGUACGCGGUACCCUUCGGGGUGCUGAGUGGCGCACGGCUGAGGAACACGUGGGUAUCUGCCU
rnacentral:rRNA from 1 species